UGCUUAACAUGCAGUCGUACGAGAGUUUUUAACUCAAGUGGCGGACGGGUGAGUAACACGUAAGAAUUUGCCUUUAGGAGGGGGACAACAAUUAGAAAUGAUUGCUAAUACCCCAUAUGCUUUCGAGUGAAAUGGAUUUUUCCGCCUAGAGAGAAGCUUGCGGCUGAUUAGCUUGUUGGUGAGGUAAUGGCUCACCAAGGCGACGAUCAGUAUCUGGUUUGAGAGGACGAUCAGACACACUGGAACUGAGACACGGUCCAGACUCCUACGGGAGGCAGCAGUGGGGAAUUUUCCGCAAUGGGCGAAAGCCUGACGGAGCAAUACCGCGUGAGGGAUGACGGCCUAUGGGUUGUAAACCUCUUUUUUCAGGGAGGAAUCAAUGACGUGUACCUGAAGAAUAAGCAUCGGCUAACUCCGUGCCAGCAGCCGCGGUAAGACGGAGGAUGCAAGUGUUAUCCGGAAUCACUGGGCGUAAAGCGUCUGUAGGUGGUCAAAUAAGUCAACUGUUAAAUCUUGAGGCUCAACCUCGAAAUCGCAGUCGAAACUAUUAGACUAGAGUAUAGUAGGGGUAAAGGGAAUUUCCAGUGGAGCGGUGAAAUGCGUAGAGAUUGGAAGGAACACCGAUGGCGAAGGCACUUUACUGGGCUAUUACUAACACUCAGAGACGAAAGCUAGGGUAGCAAAUGGGAUUAGAUACCCCAGUAGUCCUAGCUGUAAACAAUGGAUACUAGAUGUUGAACAGAUCGACCUGUGCAGUAUCAAAGC
rnacentral:rRNA from 1 species